UUUAGAUGGCGACCGGCGCACGGGUGAGUAACACGUAUCCAACCUGCCGAUGACUCGGGGAUAGCCUUUCGAAAGAAAGAUUAAUACCCGAUGGCAUAGUUCUUCCGCAUGGUGGAACUAUUAAAGAAUUUCGGUCAUCGAUGGGGAGUGCGUUCCAUUAGGUUGUUGGCGGGGUAACGGCCCACCAAGCCUUCGAUGGAUAGGGGUUCUGAGAGGAAGGUCCCCCACAUUGGAACUGAGACACGGUCCAAACUCCUACGGGAGGCAGCAUG
rnacentral:rRNA from 1 species